ACUCCUACGGGAGGCAGCAGUAGGGAAUCUUCCACAAUGGACGAAAGUCUGAUGGAGCAACGCCGCGUGAGUGAAGAAGGGUUUCGGCUCGUAAAACUCUGUUGUUAAAGAAGAACAUAUCUGAGAGUAACUGUUCAGGUAUUGACGGUAUUUAACCAGAAAGCCACGGCUAACUACGUGCCAGCAGCCGCGGGUAAUACGUAGGUGGCAAGCGUUGUCCGGAUUUAUUGGGCGUAAAGCGAGCGCAGGCGGUUUUUAAGUCUGAUGUGAAAGCCUUCGGCUCAACCGAAGAAGUGCAUCGGAAACUGGGAAACUUGAGUGCAGAAGAGGACAGUGGAACUCCAUGUGUAGCGGUGAAAUGCGUAGAUAUAUGGAAGAACACCAGUGGCGAAGGCGGCUGUCUGGUCUGUAACUGACGCUGAGGCUCGAAAGUAUGGGGUAGCAAACAGGAUUAGAUACCCU
rnacentral:rRNA from 1 species